rnacentral:rRNA from 1 species
AUUGAACGCUGGCGGCAUGCCUUACACAUGCAAGUCGAACGGCAGCGCGUCCUUCGGGAUGGCGGCGAGUGGCGAACGGGUGAGUAAUACAUCGGAACGUGCCCGAGAGUGGGGGAUAACGCAGCGAAAGCUGUGCUAAUACCGCAUACGAUCUCAGGAUGAAAGCAGGGGACCGCAAGGCCUUGCGCUCACGGAGCGGCCGAUGGCAGAUUAGGUAGUUGGUGGGAUAAAAGCUUACCAAGCCGACGAUCUGUAGCUGGUCUGAGAGGACGACCAGCCACACUGGGACUGAGACACGGCCCAGACUCCUACGGGAGGCAGCAGUGGGGAAUUUUGGACAAUGGGGAAACCCUGAUCCAGCCAUGCCGCGUGCAGGAUGAAGGCCUUGGUUGUAAACUAGCUUUUGUACGGAACCGAAAAGGUACGUUUUCUAAUAAAGAAGGACUGAUGACGGUACCGUAACGAAUAAGCACCGGCUAACUACGUGCCAGCAGCCCG